rnacentral:lncRNA from 1 species
AGAGCAGCCUCCGUCUCUCCCGGGGUGGGUGCCUGUCGGAGGCACGGAGGUCUUUGCGCUCACCGACAAGCGUUAGGGGACCUGGAUGUUCAUCAUACGAGUUGACCCUUCAAAGGGAAAAGUGGAUAGCCUGCAAUCUGCCCAGAAGGCUGGGACUGGAAAUGGCUAAGAGCUUGGUGACCUGUGUGCUGUCUGUGUGGCUGCGACCACACUGGAUCCGGCCCUUACUGUGAGGUUGUCACUCUGCGGAACUUUGUGGAAAGUUGUCUGUGGGAUGUUUUUGUGCACGGUGUAUUAAAUGCUGAUGUCAGUAUCU